rnacentral:lncRNA from 1 species
UGUCACAGCACUGGUGUAUAGUAACACCAACCUUCUCUUGUAACUUACCUUUUAGCAAUGGCGGAAAUAGUACAUGAUUUUUUCCCAUUGAUGAGAGUUUACAAAGAUGGUCGAAUCGAAAGGCUGAUGGGCGAGGGUUUUGUCCCACCUGAAUUGGAUCCUGAAACUGGAGUACAAAUCAAAGACAUUGAAAUUGAUCCAGAAAUUAACCUAUCAGCAAGACUCUACCUGCCCAAAAAUGUCGACACCGUUCAGAAAAUUCCCCUUUUCGUCUACUUUCACGGCGGUGGCUUUGUGAUCGAAUCUGCUUCUUCACCUUCAUAUCACAAGCAUCUUAGCACGGUAGCAGCUGAAGCAAAAGUCGUCAUCGUUUCUGUUAACUACAGGUUAGCUCCUGAGUACCCGUUACCCAUAGCUUAUGAAGAUACAUGGUUAGCUCUGAAAUGGGUCGCUUCACAUGCUAAUGGUGAUGGCCAUGAGCCAUGGCUAAAAGACCAUGCCGAUUUCAAUCGGGUUUAUUUUGGGGGAGAUAGCGCGGGUGGUAACAUCGCACACCAUAUAGCAAUUCGGGUCGGGUUGGAAAAGUUGGAUGGUGUGAAACUUGAAGGGAUUUUCCUUGCCUGUCCAUUUUUCUGGGGGAAGGAUCCGAUUGACGGUGAGGGGGAAAACCUGGGUGCCAAGGAUUUCGUUGAGAAGCUAUGGUUGUUUGCGAAUCCGAAUAGCUCGGGAUUAGAUGACCCGUUGAUUAACCCGGAGAAGGAUCCGAAAUUGUCUAGCUUAGGAUGUGAUAAAGUACUUGUGUAUGUGGCUGGAAAAGAUCCGUUGAGAUUCAGGGGAUUUUACUACAAGGAGGUAUUGGAGAAGAAUGGGUGGCCGGGGACGGUGGAGGUUGUGGAAGUUAAAGAUGAAGAACAUGUGUUUCACCUGUUUGCUACAGAAGCUGAAAAUGCGAUGGGCAUGAUGAAAAAAUUGGUCUCUUUCCUUAAUCAGUCCUAGGACUUCUAAUCAUGGAAGUGAGUACUAUUUUUAUGAAUAAAAUGGAUGUAAUUGUUAAAGAUUUUCCCCUGUAAAUCUUUUUCUUAAUAUAUUUCUCAAUCUUCCGAGAAUGCGGUCUACUGAUUUUAUCGACUAUCAACGAAAUUUAUUAUAGAAUGAUAAGUAUUUAUUCAUCUAUACUCAUGAAGUAAAAGCAGGAGAGUUCAUUUUCACUAUCAUAGUCUAAUAAUCUGACUCUCCACUUAUGAAACAUCUUGCUCCACUGCUUCAAUUUGUUUAUUUCUAAGAAGAUAGAGCAAACUUCUUUUAAGUGAUGAAAACGAAUACCACCUAUAUACAUUUUUAUAUAUAUUUUUAUACCAAUUUAUAUGAUUUGCUUUUCUUUUUGGCAAAAGGGUCUAGUGGACCAUUCUACUUGUAUGAGUUUGUAUUCUAAACCCUUUUACUUAAUCAUUUGUCAACUGAACUCUUGAACUCUUCGAAACACUAUAUUUUAAACAUGUUUUCUAACUUGGCAUCCUAUGGGGCCGACACAACAAAGGGGUGUGUAAUACACACACCUGAGGAGCGUGAGAUCUGGUUAAAUGGGUCUAAUAGUCAUUAGGGUUUUAUAAAGCCAUCUUCUUCCCCAUAUGCUAGCCUCUUUUUCGAUCUUCUUUCUCCAAAUUUCUUCUCCAUUUUUUCCAUCCUUAUACUCCUCUUUUAUUUCUAUGCAUUUUCAUUUAAUUCUUUGCUUCAUUUUGUGGUUGAUCCUAUUGUAGUUUUCUACAUCAUCACGAAAGUUACUUUUGUUAGAAUCCUAUAAUAUAAUAGAAAUCAUGAAACAUGUAAUUGAAAGCAUAACAAACAAAAUCCUCAAAAAAUUUCAACAUAAUUAGUAUGAAAACCUAAAAAUUAAACAAAGACAUAAAUAGAAGAUGAAAUCUAGACUAAACAACAUACAAAUACGAAAAUAAGUUACAAAAUUUACAUAAAUAAAUUAAAAAUCGAACAAAACCAACAAAAAUACUCAAACAAUUUCAUGGGAAUGAAGAAAAAAAUGAGAAAGAAAAAAUGUGGGUAUAUAUAGCCACACACAGAUGUUGCGGUGAAACUCUCUUCUUCGACUUGGAUGAAAACAAAGACGGAUUGCCUUGAUUGAGCCAUGAUUUCUGCUACUGGUGAUUUUUCUUCCAUGAAAAGAGUAGAAGAGGUUGAAUUUUUUUUCUAAGAAAGAUGAAAGAGAAAUGAAAUGAGGGGAAAGUGGUGGGUUUGGUGGCAAAAGACAAAUAAAAAUCAGAAAUAUAUUAAUUAAAUAUAAUAAAAAUGUCAAGAUGACAUGAAGUGGUAUAUAUACACGUGUCAUUUAUAAUUAUUUUUAAAAUUACGUGUCAGGCGUUUGUGGUACACGCACAACUAAACGGUUAAAAAGUGUUUAAAAUAUUGAGUUUAAAUGGGUUCAGGGUCCAGACGACAAAUUGAUAAGUAAAAGGGUUCACAAUACAAACUCAUACAAAUAGAAGGGCCCACCAGCCCUUUUGCCUUCCUUUUUUAGUCAUUUUUAGAAAGAAUAAUAUAUUUCUAUAUUAAGUAGUAAUAAUUUAACUUUAAAAUAUCCAUUUUAAUUUUAAUGAAAUGAUUUAUAACAAUAUACAUUUCUAUCAUUCAUUUUACACUACAAGUUUUAAAAAUCCUUCUUUUUUAUUUUUUUAAAUUCGUACCGAGUCAAAGUAGCUUUCAUAAAAUGGGACAGAGUGAGUAAUAAGAAUUGGAAAACCAAUUUUAAAAAUUCCAAAGAUACACCGUAAACUUGGUGUUGUCGAUCUUUCUAGUUCCUCUCCAUUAAAAACUAAGCCAUAAAUAAAAUACUUUGCCUUGCCUUGGUUGUGACGUAUGGUCUACGCUCACUCCAAUCAGAUAUGAGUGUUCACACGUUUAGAUUGAAUAUGAAUUUUUUUUGAGUUUUACCUCAAAAGAAAUUGCAAUUCAAGCUCAAUUCAAGUAAGCUUGAAUUUGAUUGGAGUUUUUAGGUUUGAUAUAAAAUUAUUCAGUUAGUUAUUUUGAAUUUUUGUUUUUUAUGUUUUAAUCCUUUUAAAGGCAAGUAUAAUUGUGACAAUUAACAAGUUCAAUUCACUUAAUAAUUUAUUCUUUAGAAUGAAUUCCAUUUGUUUUUUAAAACAAAAGACUUAUUUUCAUUUUUAGUUUAUUUCAAAAAGAAUGAUUUUUAUUUUUUGUAAUACUUUAAUUUCAGUUUAUCAACUGACAUGUUUAAGAAUUCAAGAUUAAAAAUAUGUUGGUACAUUUGACAUAACUGUAAUUUAGGAUCACAAGAUUGAAAAAAUUUCUUCCUUUUCUUACCCUUCGUGUUAAGUCAAAUUAGAUUAUUCUUUUUUAAAUCGAUGGAGCAUAACUUUCUAGUGUUUACAAGAAUUGAGGUCUCGCUAACUCUCAUGUCGUGGAUUAAGUUUUACUUACUCAUAGACUAUUUUUCAUUUUUGUCUAGAUUCGUAAUUAAAAAAUAAAUCACUUGAUACUAAAAGUGAGAAUAGAAUUAUUUGAGAUCUAUCAAUGAAAUCAUAUAAUAUUAUUUGAUAGUAAAUACGAUAGAGUUACUUGGAACCUAGAAUACUUAUAGAGAUUAAACUUAUUACCAAUUAAGUUCUUGGUUUUAAGAGUAGAUCUCACAGCACUUGUGUAUAUUAACACCAACCUUCUCCUUGUAACUUAGCUUUUAGCAAUGGCGGAAAUAGUACACGAUCUUUUCCCACCGAUUAGAGUUUACAAAGAUUGUCGAAUCGAGAGGAGGCUGAUGGGUGAAGGUUUUGUCGCACCUGAAUCGGAUCCUGAAACUGGAGUACAAAUCAAAGACAUUGAAAUUGAUCCAGAAAUUAACCUAUCAGCAAGACACUACCUGCCCAAAAAUAUAGACCCAGUUCAGGAAAUUCCCCUUUUCGUCUACUUUCACGGCGGCGCCUUUGUAAUCGAAUCUGCUUCUUCACCUACCUAUCACAAGCAUCUAAGCAUGGUAGCAGCUGAAGCAAAAGUCGUCAUGACCAUUUAAAUCCUUUUAGACAUUAUUUCAAAAUUGACGUUGAGCAAUUACAACCUUCGCUAAUAUUUGAAAGAACUUAAGCAUCUGACUUAAAAUCUUAAAACAUGGUCUAAAAACACAUAGCGCCUGUUUGGAAGGACAAACAAGGACACUCUGCUAAUUAGAUUUGAUAUAAUUGAGUGUAAUUACACUGUCUGUCAUAUUUGGUUGGACAUGUAAUUACUUGGUCAGCCAUGUAAUUAGUGUAAUUGGCAGGGAUAAUUACACUUUACAAUUCACAGACAGAGGCUAUGAAUUACUGGUAAUUACACCAUGCAAAUUACUUUUAAAUUUCAUUUUCUUAUUUCUAUUUUUAUUUUUUUUGUUUUAAUUUUUUUUACUUCUGAUAUUUUAAGUUCUUUUUUUUUAUUAUUAUUAUAAAAGUUUACUUUUUAUUUUAUAUUAUUAUAUUUCAUUUUCUUUGUUUUCAACUUUACUUUACGUGAUUCUAUGCAAUUUUUCCGUAUUAUCUAUUUCUUUAUGUCAUGCUUACUUUCUUAUUAGCAUAAUUUUAUUAGUAUUCUAAUUUUUUUUAAUUAAAAUAUAAUUUAUUGUUAAGUAAGGUUAUAGACUUACGUUUUCUUUUUUAAGAAAAAUAAAUCAUAUUUAUGUAUGCUAUGUUUAAAUUUGCUAUAAGAGUAUUAUGUUAAAUGUUUCGUUUUGAAUUUAUAACUAAUGUUAUAUUUUCAGUUUCAUUUGUUUUAGUAAUAUUGAAUUCAAAUUGCACGUCAAUUUUUUAAUUAGACUUGAUAGAUUAUCUUUUUGUCAAACAUUUAAUAAUUUAUGACAUUUUAUUUAUAUAUUAAUCUUUAUAUCAGACAUGCAUUUCACGAUGUUCGUAGAAACUUCAUACUUUUAAUUUUUAUGAUCAAUUCAAUUGAAAUAUAUUAAUUUGAAAAAAUAUAAAUCAAUUAUUUUUUCAUAAUAUUAGUUAAAAAAUAUAUGUUUAUUAAUUAAUAUAUUUAAAUAUAUAUAUAUAUAUCUUAAAUAUUUAAUUUAAUGUCAUUUAUAAAGUUUCUUAUUUGUCUAGUAUAAAUUUUAAAUAAUUAAUUUUGAUUUUUAAAAUUUAAUAUAAUUUUAUAAUUGUAAUUGUGCAUCCAAACAGAACAUGUGUAAUUACACUGUGACAUCCAAACAGGACAUGUGUAAUUACAAUUAUACUGUUGCAACCAAACAAGUAAGUGUAAUUACUAGGCUGAUAAUUACUACCCUAAUAAUUACACCAUUUCCAAUAACAUGUGACUUUCCAAACAGACCCAUAUGAAAAUCUUCAUAACAUAUGAGAGACGGACAUAAUUAUUAGAUUACGAAAUAAUAAUAUUAAAUUAUGUUAAUUAUGGAUACUUAUCGGAGAAAGUGGUCAUAAUUUAUAUUAAGCCACUUUUUUCUAAUCUAGAAAAUGAUUAUUAUUCCUUGAAAUCGUCCAUCUAUAUUCUCAUACUCCCUCCGUUUCACAAAGAAUGACCUGGUUUGACAUGUCACAGAGUUUAAAUAAAUAAAAAAGACUUUUGAAUCUUGUGAUCCUAAAUUAAAGUUAUGCCAAAUGUACAAAAUUGCCCUUAAUCUUGUGGUCUUAAACAUGUCACGUGAAAAACAAAAAGUAAAAUGUUACCAAAAAAGGAAAGAGGUUAUUCUUUUUGAAACUGACUAAAAAGAAAAGGAGGUCAUUCUUUGUGAAACGGAGGGAGUAUGAGAAUAUAGAUGGACGAUUUCAAGGAAUAAUUUAUUUCACCAUCUUUUAAUUGGAUAUGAAAAAUGUUGUGGAGUGAAUGAAAAAGUGAAAUUAUUAUUUAAAAGAAAAAAAAAAUUUCAUUUAUUUAUUUUGAAAUGAAUAUUUUUUCUUUUUGCGGUGUUAAGGGACUCCAUAACUUAACAAGUAAUUGCCCAAAUAAAUGCAAAUGACCAUAAAAACUAUCAAAAUUAAAUUAGAGUAAACAUGUUGACGCCAAACUAGGAAAAAAAAGAUUUGGACAUUCAAUUCAAAAUGCAUAUAAUUAAAGAGCAGAUUUUAAAACAAAGCAAAUUUUUGGUUAUAAAAGUAACUGUCACAGCACUAGUCUAUAGUAUACCAACCUUCUCUUGCUUGCAACUUAGCUUUUAGCCAUGGCGGAAGUAGUACAUGAUUGAGAGUUUACAAAGAUGGUCAAAUCGAGAGGCUGGCGGGCGAAGUUUUUGUCCCACCUGAAUCUGAUCAUGAAACCGGAGUACAAAUCAAAGACGUUCAAAUUGAUCCAGAAAUCAACCUAUCAGCAAGACUUUACCUGCCCAAAAAUGUCGACCCGGUUCAGAAAAUUCCCCUUUUCGUCUACUUUCACGGCGGCGGCUUUGUAAUCGAAUCUGCUUUUUCACCUACAUAUCACAAAUAUCUUAGCCUGGUAGAAGCUGAAGCAAAAGUCGCCAUUGUCUCUGUUAACUACAGGUUAGCUCCUGAGUACCCGUUACCCAUAGCUUAUGAAGAUUCAUGGCUAGCUCUCAAAUGGGUCACUUCACAUGCCAAUGGUGAUGGUCGUGAACCAUGGCUAAAAGACAAUGCCGAUUUCAAUCGUGUCUAUUUGGGGGGAGAUAGCGCGGGUGGUAACAUCGCACACCAUAUAGCCAUUCGGGUCGGGUUGGAAAAGUUGGAGGGUGUGAAAAUUGAAGGGAUUUUCCUUGCCUGUCCAUCUUUCUGGGGGAAGGAUCCGAUUGACGGUGAGGGGGGAAAUCCUGGGUGCCAAGGAUUUCGUUGAGAAGCUAUGGUUGUUUGCGAAUCCGAAUAGCUCGGGGAUUAGAUGACCCGUUGAUUAACCCGGAAAAGGAUCCGAAGUUGUCUAGCUUAGGAUGUGAUAAAGUAGUUGUGUAUGUGGCCGGAAAAGAUUCGUUGAGAUUCAGGGGAUUUUACUACAAGGAGGUGUUGGAGAAGAGUGGGUGGCCGGGGAUGGUGGAGGUUGUGGAAGUUAAAGAUGAAGAACAUGUAUUUCAUCUGUCUGCUACAGAAGCUGAAAAUGCCAUGGCUAUGAUGAAAAAAUUGGUUUCUUUCCUUAAUCAGUCCUAGGACUUCUAAUCAUGGAAUUGGGUACUAUUUUUAUGAAUAAAAAAUGGAUGUAAUUGUUAAAGAUUUUCACGUGGUUCUUAAUAUAUUUCUCAAUCUUGGGGAAUGCGGCCUACUGAUUUUAUCGACUAUCAACAAGAUUAGAUUUAUUAUAGAGUGAUAAGUAUUUCUUCGUGUUUACUCAGAUUCUUAGGUAUAAAGUGCAUCAAGGUAUGCACGAGAGUUCUAACCAACAUACGUUUACGGAGCAUCUUGUUACACUGCUUCAACUUGUUAUUUCUAAGAUAGAACAAACUUCUGUAAGUGAUGAAAAGGACUACCACCAACAUACGUUUUUGUUUUAUAAAAAUAAUUGGAAAACCAAAUAUCACCGUAAACUUGCUGAUCUAUCUAGUUCUUUCUCCAUUUAAAACUAAGCCAUAAAUAAAACAAUUGACCUUCCCUUGGUCGAUGGUCUACGCUCACUAGAAUUGUUUGUUUAGUAUAUAAUGAUGUUGAAUAAUAGGGAAAAAUAUCAGAUGUGGGCCUUCUCACCGUUCAGAUUGAAUAUAAAAAUUUGAUUUGAGUUUUUAAAUUUUAACAUCGCUGAAAUUACAAUUCAAGUAAGGUUGAAUUGAUAGGAGUUCUUAGGUAAGAUUUAAAAUUAUUCAGUUUUGUUAUUUUGAAUUUUUUAUUUUAAUUUUUGAGUCUUUAAGGCAAGUAUGACACUUCACAAGGUCAUCAUUUGUUAGAAUGUAUACUUUUUACCGUUAACCAAGAUUGAGGUCACUCUUAACACUCGUGCGGUGGACUAAGGUUUACUUAUUCAUGGACUAUUUUUUCAUAUUUUAUCUAGAUUAGUACUAAAAAACAUAACAUGAUAUUGGAAAAAGGCAUAAAAUUUUCCCUGAACUUGGCACGAAAAUUUACUUUAGUACUUAAACUACACGAGUGUUUAUAUACCCCUUAACAUCUUUUAGGUGAUUAAAACACCCUCUAAGGGAUGAUGUGGCAGAGAGAGUGAGUGCACUCUCCUGAAAGUGCGUGAAAAAAGAGAAAACAAAAGCUGAAUUUUUAAAGCCCUACACAUGGCCUUUUUUUAUUGGCCAAUAUAUAACAAAUUAUUUAAAUAGUUUUUAAUAUAUAUUAAAUCUUUAAAAUAUGUAAAAAAAAUUAUUAAGAGGUAAAUGAAAUUAGUGGAUCCCCUUUUUAUUUUCUUUAAUUUUUUUUAUUUUUAUUUUGUUGUCUUCUUCAAUACACAUUUUUCUCCAUUGAAACAUCUCUUCCUCCAUCUUCUUCCCACCUCUAUCCACUAUUUUCAUUUCACUAAUCUUUUACUAAUCCAUAAAAUUCAAUAGCAAUGUCAUUUUAUUGACGUCUAUUUCACUCUAUUAUUUGUAUCGAUUUGGCAAAUGCAAACUUUCUUAAAUUUUGAGCGACCCAUUUUGAUUUCUAGAUCAUUCAAACAUUUCUCAUAAAAUUUAUAUUUUUUUGGAUCAACUUUCUUAUGCAAUCUUCAUUUCUUAUUUGAGUUGUCAAGAAAAAAUUGGCUUUCAAAAAAAUCCAUUCUCCAAGAGGGUAAACUCAUUGGGAGGAUUCGAAGAAGAAAAUGUGAAUUUCUUCUUUAAAGUGACUUAAAAAAUUGUUGAAUAGUGAAGAAAAAGAAAAGAAAGUAUUGAAGGUUGGAAUAAUGAUAGUGAACAACAAGGAAGAAGAAAAAGAGGGAAUGGGGUGAGGGUGGGGGUAUGCAUUUAUAAAUUAAUCAAUUGAUAUAAUUAAUUUUAAAAAGUGUUUAAGAAAAAAUAGUGAAUAAGUAAAAAGAAAUAAAGAUUAAUGAUAUGACGCCUACAUGGUUAUGAUGUGUCACUUAUGUGGCUAUGAUGUGGUGGGUGAGAGUGGUGUUAUAGUCUCAAGGUGGAAAAAAAUCACUUCAAAGAUCUUAAGGGGAUAUUUAAAUGCCCGUAUAAUUUAAGUACUAAAGUAAAUUAUCCGAUCAAAUUCAAGAGAAUUUUUUUGUAUUUUCCCUAUUAAAAGUGACAAAAGAAUUAAAGAAAUGUGUGGACAUACUGUGAGUCCCUGAAGAAAUGUGGAUGGAAAGAGGGGCGGAUCCACCCUAUGCCAUGGGGUGUCAUCCGACACGACUUGGUCAAAAAAAUUUAAUAUUAUAUAUAUAAAUCUGGAAAAAACCCAACACAGUAGUAAGAAUAAUAAAAAUGAUACUCCUUGCACAAUUGUGUUGCCUUGGCGCGUUUGUUUGACAUGUGGCUGGAGUGUAUUAAUUCUCUCAACUGGCCAGGUUCAAGUCUCUUUAAGGGCAUCUCCCACCUUACACUCUAUUUUACCCUUUAAAUAUAGAAUUUUCUAUUUUUUCAGAUAAUCAAUUUCAAGUCAAUUCUCUAUUUUACUAUCUAAAAAGAAAUUUUUUUCUUUUUUCUUAAUAUUAUAUUAUUAUUUCUAUUUCAUUCUUAUUUUCUUACUUCAUAGUAUAAAUUCUUUAUUUCUUUUUCCCAAUAAUUACUUUAUAUAAUUUUCAUGUGAUAUAAAAAUUUAUUUUUUUAUUUAAUAUAAAAUUUUAUUUUAUUUUAAAUUUUAAAUAAUAUAAAUUGCAAGAAAAUAUUAUAUAAUAUACAAAUUCAAAUAAAAGUGAAAUACAAUUACAUAAACACUCAAUUUUCAAAAUUAUUACGUUGCUCCCAUAAAUUUUCUAUUAAUGCAUUACGGAGUUCAAAAUGAGCAUUUUUGUCCUUGUUUUUUUAUGUCUAGCUAGAAGUUGUUUAAAUCGGAAAUUUUCAUCUAUCACCAGUUAUGUCGUUGGAGUUGGAGCCUCUACGACAUCUUGAAUUGGUGCAUUAAGAUCACGUUGAUCCUCAAUUAUCAUGUUGUGCAGUAUAAUGCAAUGUAGUCAUUAAAUCAUGUAGCACUUUCUUUCUCCAAAAAUGUGACGGUCCUGCAAAAAUUGCAAAACGUGAUUGUAAAACUCUGAAUGCACGUUCAACAUCUUUUCGGCAUGAUUCUUGUUUCAUCGCGAAUUAAUUAUUAUGUUAUGUAUUGUAUUUUAUCUUGCAUUUUAAAUUAUUAUCUUAUGUAUUGUAUUGUUAUCUUGUAUUUUAAUUAUCAUAUUAUGUGUUGUAUUUUUAAAUUAAAAUUUUCAUCUUAUCAUUUUAAUUUUGUGUAUUCUUUAUAGUGAAAAUUAAUAAUAAAAUUAUAUUAUAUUAUCGACGAAAAUUAAAAAAUAUGAAAUACUAUUAAUUCGGGAUGAUAAUAGUUUAUAUUAAAUAAUAUAUUUUUUAAAAUAUUAUAUUACAUUCACCUCUCUAAAUAUGAAGAAUAGAGGGUGAUAUAGAGUUGGAUUGGAGUGUCCAUUCUAUAUUUUACUCUCCAAAUAUAGGGAAUGGAGAGUAAAAUAGAGAUGGGUUGAAGAUGGUCUAAGAGCUAUAUUUUUUUUGGCUUUUUCAGUAAUAAACAUUUUUUUAUUAAUAUAGUGUUAUUAUAUCAACUAUUUAUUAUUAAAUAUUGACACCACAUAUAGAAAAUCCUGCAUACACCACUCAGAAAGGUGAUGGCGGAAUUUAAAGAAACAGAAGGGGAAGAACACGUUUUUCAUUUGGUUAAGCCAACUUGUGAGAGCGCUAAGGCCCUGAUGAAAUGGCUGGCCGAUUUCUUUCAACAAUCAAGCUGAAUUCUUAGUUGUGUAGAAUUUCUCUACUAUUUCAGCUGUUUCUCUUUUCUUUUUAUUGAUCAAAUAAUUAGCCGUUUGGACUUGAAUUUGAAAUUAUUGAUUUAAGAUAGAGAUUGAUUUGAACUUGAAAUAUUGUUUGGACUUGCCAUUGUGACACGAGAAAUCAUUUUCACUAUUAUAGUCAUUAACUAGACUCUCCAUCUAUGGAACACUUUUUUUUUGCUUAGAAGGAUGCACUUAUUUUGUAUGUCUUGAAAAUUCAUUAAAUAUACCUUUAAAAAAAAUUAUUUAGUUUAGGACUCACCCAAUAACUUGAAAAAAUUAAAUAAUUUUCAACUCAUAAGCUUUAAAUCUCGACUCCACUAUACCUCCAAAAGAAAUUCUCUCUGGACAAUAGAACUGGUAGUGGUCAUUACGUAUGGACUCCGCUCACUUGAAUUGUUUGUAUUUUAUAUAUUAAUGAGGACAAAAGAAGUAUAUGUCCUCUAGAAACAUCAUUAUACAUGCCGAGUUAAAAUAGAAUGACGUCUUUAUAUUUUAUAAAAGAUAAUUCUAUUAAUUAUAGUAUACUUUUUUUAAAUAUUCAAAUUUUAUUUUAAUAAAAGAUCUAAUCAACAUUGAGUAGGGGUAUCAAACGGGCAGUUUGGGUUGAAAUUGAAUAUAUUAAAAUGGAUUAAGGUUUGAAUGAAUUAAGAUUGAACCCAAUACAAAUUAUCUUGAGUCUAAUCCUUAAAACUCAUGACAGAUUGGGUGAGUUAGCUAUAGUUGGGUUCAUUUUUGACAUCCAUAAUGUUGAGUGGAAACGAAAGAGGAGAUUAUUUGUGUCGCAUUCAUCAUUUGCUCAAUCAAAUCAUACAAUUAUUCAAUAGCAAAUAUGAUAUACUUGCUUCGAUCCUAGAAUACUGAUUUAUUGGACCUUUGAAAAUUAUUUAAAAAUUCAAAGCAAAAUAUUUAAAAAGUUGGUUAGACUAUAACCAUCCUACACACAAAUGUUUAUACAAAGAAAGAAAGCGUGAAAUAAUUCUUCUUACUUUUGGCAAUCAAAUAAGAAUUUUAAACAAACUUCUAUAAUUAAUUUAGAGUUCAAAAUACAAUAUAAUACUUUUUUUGUUAUUUUUAUUUAAAUAUAAAUAAUAUGUGGAUAUAUUAUAAGAAAUAAGUAUUUCUAAAAAUGAAUGGACGGCGUAAUUUUCUUAUCAAUCAGUGAAUAGAAGUUAAUCUUAUUUAUAGAAAGUUUGUUGAAGAUUCUUAUUUGAUUGCCACAAAUUAUUGCUUUUAAAAGUAGCAUUCACAGCACUUGUGUAUUACUACACACACCAACCUUCUCUUGCAACUUAGCUUUUAGCAAUGGAGGAAAUAGUGCAUGAUUUUUUCCCAUUCAUGAGAGUUUACAAAGAUGGUCGAAUCGUAAGGCUGAUGGGCGAAGGUUUUGUGCCACCUGAAUCUGAUCCUGAAACUGGAGUACAAAUCAAAGACGUUGAAAUUGAUCCACAAAUUAACCUAUCAGCAAGACUCUACCUGCCCAAAAAUGUCGACUCUGUUCAGAAAAUUCCCCUUUUUGUCUACUUUCACGGCGGUGGUUUUGUGAUCGAAUCUGCUUCUUCACCUUCAUAUCACAAGCAUAUAAGCAAGGUAGCAGCUGAAGCAAAAGUAGUUAUUGUUUCUGUUAACUACAGGUUAGCUCCUGAGUACCUUUUACCCAUAGCUUAUGAAGAUUCCUGGCUAGCUCUCAAAUGGGUUGCUUCACAUAUUGCCAAUGGUGAUGGUGAUGAGCCAUGGCUAAAAGACCAUGCCGAUUUCAAUCGCGUCUAUUUAGGGGGAGAUAGCGCGGGUGGUAACAUCGCACACCAUAUAGCUAUUCGGGUCGGGUUGGAAAAGUUGGAUGGUAUGAAACUUGAAGGGAUUUUCCUUGCCUGUCCAUUUUUCUGGGGGAAGGAUCCUAUUGACGGUGAGGGAGAAAACUUAGGUUCCAAGGAUGUCAUUGAGAAGCUAUGGUUGUUUGUGAAUCCCAACAGCUCGGGAUUAGAUGACCCGUUGAUUAACCCGGAAAAGGAUCCGAAGUUGUGUAGCUUAGGAUGUGAUAAAGUACUUGUGUAUGUUGCCGGAAAAGAUACAUUGAGAUUCAGGGGAUUUUACUAUAAGGAGGUGUUGGAGAAGAGUGGGUGGCCGGGAACGGUGGAGAUUGUGGAGGUUAAAGAUGAGGCACAUGUGUUUUACCUGUCUGCUACAGAAGCUGAAAAUGCCAUGGCAAUGAUAAAAAAAUUGGCCUCUUUCCUUAAUCAGUCCUAGGCCUAUUCAUGGUAUUGACUACUAUUUUUAUGAAUAAAAAAUGGAUGUAAUUGUUAAAGAUUUUCUCAUGGUUCUUAAUAUAUUUCUCAAUCUUCGGAGACUGCGGCGGCCUACUGUUUUUGUUGACUAAAUGUAAGUUAGGUAGGAGAGUUCAUUUUCACUAUCAUAGUUCAUUAAUCAGACUCUCUAUUUAUGGCGCAUCUUGCUCCACUGCUUCAACUUGUUAUUUAUAAGAUAGAACAAACUUCUUUAAGUGAUGAAAAGGAACACCACCAACAUACGUUUUUUGUUUUUAUAAAAUACAAUAAUAAUCGGAAUACCAAUUUGGUGUAAACUCGCUGUUAUCGAUCUUUCUGGUAAGCUCCAUUUAAAACUAAGCCAUACAUAAAAUAAAUGGCCUUGCCUUGGUCGUGAGUAUGGGCUACGCUCACUAGCAUUGUUUUGUUUGUACAUAUGGUGAUGAAUUAUAGAUCUUAGAGGGAAAAAUUAUCAGAUGUGGGCAUUUACACCGUUCAAAUUGAAUAUGAAUUUGAGUUUUUUAUUUUAUAUUGAAGAAAUUACCGUUCAAAUUCAAUUUAAACUUGCAUUUGAUUGGAGUUUUAAGGUUUGAUUUAAAAUUAAUCAAUUUUGAUAUUUUGAAUUUCAAUUUUUGAGCCUUUAAGACAAGUAUUACAAUUACGAAGCUCAAUUCACUCAAUAGUUUGUUCUUUCGAAUGUACUAUAACUUUUUACGGUUUACAAGGAUUGAGGUCACUGUGACACUCAAGCCAUGGAUUAAGUUUUACUUACUCAUAGACUAUUUUUUCACUUUUAUCUUGAUUAGCAACAUGAUAUUAAAAGUGACAAUAGAAUUAUUUGAUUUUAAUCAAUGAAAUCAUUUACAUUAUUAUUCAAUAGAAAAUAUGAUAUACUUUCUUUGGAACAUAGAAUACUAAACUAUUGGACUUUUAAAAAUAAAACUUAUUACCAAGUUCUUGGUUUUAAAAGUAGAUCUCACAGCACUUGUGCAUAGUAACACCAACCUUUUCUGGUAACUUAGCUUUCAGCAAUGGCGGAAAUUAUACAUGAUCUUUUCCCACUGAUUAGAGUUUACAAAGAUGGUCGAAUCGAGAGGCUGAUGGGUGAAGGUUUUGUCCCACCUGAAUCGGAUCCUGAAACCGGAGUACAAAUCAAAGACAUUGAAAUCGAUCCACAAAUUAACCUAUCAGCAAGACUUUACCUGCCCAAAAAUAUAGACCCAAUUCAGAAAAUUCCCCUUUUCGUCUACUUUCACGGCGGCGCCUUUGUAAUCGAAUCUGCUACUUCGCCGACAUAUCACAAACAUCUAAGCAUGGUAGCAGCUGAAGCAAAAGUCGUCAUCGUCUCUGUUAACUACAGGUUAGCUCCUGAGUACCCGUUACCCAUAGCAUAUGAAGAUUCAUGGAUAGCUCUCAAAUGGAUCGCUUCACAUGCUAAUGGUGAUGGUUAUGAGCCAUGGCUAAAAGACCAUGCCAAUUUCAAUCGCGUCUAUUUUGGGGGAGACAGUGCGGGUGGUAACAUCGCACACCAUAUGGCCAUUCGGGUCGGGUUGGAAAAGUUGGAGGGUGUGAAACUUGAUGGGAUUUUCCUUGCCUGUCCAUAUUUCUGGGGGAAGGAUCUGAUUGACGGUGAGGGAGAAAACUUGUUUGUCAAGGAUUGCAUUGAUAAGCUAUGGCUGUUUGCGAAUCCCAAUGGCUUCGGAUUAGAUGACCCGUUGAUUAACCCGGAAAAGGAUCCGAAAUUGUGUAGCUUAGGGUGUGAGAAAGUACUUGUGUAUGUCGCCGGAAAAGAUCCGUUGAGAUUCAGGGGAUUAUACUAUAAGGAGGCGUUGGAGAAGAGUGGGUGGCCGGGGACGGUGGAGGUUGUGGAGGUUAAAGAUGAGGAACAUGUUUUUCACCUGUUUGCUCCAGAAGCUGAAAAUGGGAUGGCCAUGUUGAAAAAAUUGGUCUCUUUCCUUAAUCAGUCCUAGGCCUUUUAAUCAUGGAAUUGAGUACUAUUUUCAUGAAUGAAUUGGAUGUAAUUGUUAAAGAUUUUCUCUUUUCUUUUUUUUUUAAUUAAAGUUUGAUCAAUAAAUAUUGAAUCAUGAAAGAUUUUGUGAUAGCUUAUUACACUUUAUUAUUAAUUUUUGUUUAUAAUCGCAAGUUCAAAUAAAAUUUAACUUCAAAUCAACUUGAUUUCAAAUUGUUUAUUAAAUGAUCAUGUCUAAAAUAUCAUAUUUCAACUUGUGAUCAAUCCAUAGAUACCAAUUAGAAAAUAAAUAAAGGCAUAAUAGUUACUUUUUCUGUAUAACAAAAUUAUUAGUUAUUUGUUGGAUUUCUUCAAGACAUUUCCCUUAAAUCAUUAAUUUUUCUAUCAUAGAGUUUCUCCCUUAUUCGUAUAAUCUGUAUUUUAAAAAAAUAAAAAAUUAAGUAAAAUACUCUCUCCGUCCUAAUUAGUUGAUCAUCUUACUAAAAAUAUUUAUCUCAUAAUAGUUGAUCACCUUACUAAAUAAAAAAAAAUUAUUAAUAAAUUUUUUCCUAUAUUACCCUUGAAAUUAAUUCAUUUGAAUGUGUUCAUACUUAUUUGUAAAAUUUCCAAGAAGUUUUUUUAAGAGGUGAAUCAGUAAAAUUAUUUUUUUAUUUAUGUUAUAGCUACUGUUUAGGGAAAUUCUAAUACGCAACUACAAUUUCGCCAAAUUUGCUAUUAGCCUGAUUUGUAUAAUUCGCAUGACUUGUAUAAUUUGGUUCCUGAUUGUAUAAAUUUAGAAAUUUGUAUAUGCUUACCCGAGCUAUUUGUAUACGAUUUAUGAAAAAUUCAUAAUAAACUACCCUGUUUCUAUAUUGUCAAGCGAAAUAUACAAACAGAGUUCUGAAAAAUUUCUUGAUGUAAAAAUACAGAUUUUGUAUAUACUUACCCUAUUUAAAUAUCUGCAAGCGAAAUAUACAAACGAACAAAAAUAUACGACUGCAGCCUCCAUAGCAAAUGAAACUAUAGCUAUGGAGUGCAAUCAUCGAAAUUAUAGAUAUAGAACCUUAUUAUGUCUAUUAGGUUUGUUAUUUUUUUUUUAAAUCUCUUCUUAAUAUGCGUGUAAAAAGGAAAGUAAUCAACUAAUAUGAGAGAGUAAUUGGCUCAAGUGCUAUCUUGAUCCAAGGCUUUGCUACUUCAGAUAUUUUAAUUGAAAUUCACCGAUCUGAAAUAGUGAUACUUGCUCUUUAAUUUGAGUGGUUAAUAAUGCACCUAAGUAUGAUGAUAUUGGGCUAGGCUACACAUGAAUUUAAUACAUAUGCCUAAAAUAUAAGAGAAAAGUUGUUGCCCACAUAAUUUCAUUAAAGUUUGAGCGGAAUAUCCUUAAAAAAAAUAUGAACAACACAUCAAAAUUUAAGAAAAUACAUAGAAUAACCAUGAUCAUUUAAAUCCUUUUGGAAAUUAUUUCAAAACUGACAUGGAGCAAUUACAAGUUUAUAACCUUUUCUAAUAUUUGAAAGAAUUUAAUCCUUUUAGAAAUUAUUUCAAAAUUGACGUGGAGCAAUUAUAAGUUUACAACCUUCUCUAAUAUUUGAAAGAAUUUAAGCAUCUGACUCAAAAUCUUACCGGUAUCUUAAAAUAUGAUCUAAACCCAUACAAAAAUCUUCAUAACAGAUGAGAGACGGACAUAAUUAUUGGAUUACAAAAUAAUAAUAUUAAAUUAUGUUAAUCAUGGCUAUUUAUUGGUGAAAGUGGUCAUAAUUCAUAUUAAGCCACUUUUUUAUGAUCUAGAAAAUGGUUAUUAUUCUUGAAAUCGUCAAAUCUAUAUUCUUAUAACUUAUUACUUCAUUAUCUUUUAAUUGGAUAUGAAAAAUGUUGUAGAGUGAAUGAAAAAAUAAAAUUAUUAUUGGAAAAAAGAGAUCUUUUUUAUUUAUUUAUUUGGAAAUGAAUGUUUUUUCUUUUUGUGGAGUUGAGGGACUCCAUACCUAACUUGUUCAGAUUUUGUUUGAACAAGUUAUUGCACAAAUAAAUGCAAAUGAUCAUAAAAACUAUCAAAAUUAAAUUAGAGUAAACAUGUUGACCCCAAACUAGGGGUGUGCAUUCGGUUUUUCGGUUCGGUUUUGUGUUAUUCGGUUUGGGUUUUUCGGUUUUCGGUUUGAAAAAGUAUAAACCAAUCCGAACCAAAAAAAAAUUGGUUCGGUUCGAUUUUUCUCUUUUCGGUUUGGUUUUUUUCGGUUUGGCUAUUCGGUUACAACUUAUUUCAUAACUAAUUAAUAACAUAAUCAAAGUUAUAUUUGCAUGCUUAAAAAAUAAAAAUUUCAUAUAAGGAAAAGUACUAAUUCUAGUUCUGCUAAUUUUUUUGUCAUGAAAGUGCAAGUAAUAUGUGAUAUUUAUAGUUAUAAUGUAAAACCUAAUGCCUAAAAUUUAGUGAAAUAGGAUGGCAGUAAUUUGAUAUGGGCCUAAAUAUUACAACAAUACUGAAUUAUUAGUACCCUACGGCCUACAUAGUAAACCUAAAUAUUAUAGGUGUAAUUAUUAAUCUAUUUAUAUAUAUAUAUAUAAUUCGGUUUUUUUCGGUUUUUCGUUUUUUUCGGUUUUUCGGUUUUCAUUUUUCUAAAUCCGAAACCAAACCAAAAAACCAAACAAAGUAACUUAUAAAUCCAAAACCAAACCAAAAAUCCAAAAAACCAAUCCAAAUUAUAAUUCGAUUUGAUUUGGUUUGGUUUUUCGGUUUAAUCCAAAUAGUGCACACCCUACCCCAAACUAGGAAAAAAAAGAUUUGGACAUUCAAUUCAAAAUCCAUAUAAUUAAAGAGCAGAUUUUAAAACAAAGCAAAUUCUUGGUUAUAAAAGUGACUGUCACAGCACUAGUGUAUAGUAUACCAACCUUCUCUUGCAACUUAGCUUUUAGCCAUGGCGGAAAUAGUACAUGAUUUUUUCCCAUUGAUGAGAGUUUACAAAGAUGGUCGAAUCGAGAGGCUGGCGGGCGAAGUUUUUGUCCCACCUGAAUCUGAUCCUGAAACCGGAGUACAAAUCAAAGACGUUGAAAUUGAUCCACAAAUUAACCUAUCAGCAAGACUUUACCUGCCCAAAAAUGUCGACCCGGUUCAGAAAAUUCCUCUUUUCGUCUACUUUCACGGCGGCGGCUUUGUAAUCGAAUCUGCUUUUUCACCUACCUAUCACAAAUAUCUUAGCCUGGUAGCAGCUGAAGCAAAAGUCGCCAUCGUCUCUGUUAACUACAGGUUAGCUCCUGAGUACCCGUUACCAAUAGCUCAUGAAGAUUCAUGGCUAGCUCUCAAAUGGGUCACUUCACAUGCCAAU